rnacentral:rRNA from 1 species
CGGAGAAGGCGCAUGAGAAACGGCUACCACAUCUAAGGAUGGCAGCAGGCGCGCAAAUUACCCAAUUCUAACUCAGAGAGGUAGUGACAAGAAAUAACAACUUCGGGCUUGCCCGAGAUUGGAAUGAGUACAAUGUAAAAUUUUUAACGAGUACCAACUGGAGGGCAAGUCUGGUGCCAGCAGCCGCGGUAAUUCCAGCUCCAGUAGCGUAUACUAAAGUUGUUGCAGUUAAAAAGCUCGUAGUUGAAUUUCUGUGUAGUGUACUUGCGGUCUCUGGACCAAUAUGCACUGCGCAUCCAUCUGAACAGCAUUUCUCGUCAUUCAUUUGUCGGUUGUGUGAUCAGAUACUUUACCUUGAGAAAAAUAGAGUGUUCCAAGCAGGCGUCCGCCUGAAUAAUAAAGCAUGGAAUAAUACAAUAGGACUGGGUUCUAUUGGUGCAUAGAACUUAGUAAUGAUUAAUAGGGACAGUUGGGGGCAUUCGUAUUUAAUUGUCAGAGGUGAAAUUCUUUGAUUUAUUAAAGACGAACCUAUGCGAAAGCAUUUGCCAAGGAUGUUUUCAUUAAUCAAGAACGAAAGUUAAGGGAUCGAAGACGAUCAGAUACCGUCGUAGUCUUAACCAUAAACUAUGCCGACUAGAGAUUGGAGGUGCAAUCUCAAUACUCCUUCAGCAUCUUAGGAGAAAUCAAAGUCUUUGGGUUCUGGGGGUAGUAUGGUCGCAAGACUGAAACCUAAAGGAAUUGACGGAAGGGCACCACAGGGUGUGGAGCCUGCGGCUUAAUUUGACUCAACACGGGGAAACUUACCAGGUCCAGACAUGGGAAGGAUUGACAGAUUGGAGAUCUUUCUUGAUUCCAUGGAUGGUGGUGCAUGGCCGUUCUUAGUUGGUGGAGUGAUUUGUCAGGUUAAUUCCGAUAACGAACGAGACCUCAACCUACUAACUAGUUGCAGUUUCUUACAAGCUGUAGACUUCUUAGAGGGACUGUAGGAUUUAACCUAAGGAAGUUUGAGGCAAUAACAGGUCUGUGAUGCCCUUAGAUGUCCUGGGCCGCACGCGCGCUACACUGAUACAGGCAGUAAGUCUCCAAUUUCGAAAGAUUUUGGGAACCUCCAAACUGUAUCGUGCUGGGGAUUGACACUUGUAAUUAUUUGUCAUCAACGAGGAAUACCUAGUAGGCGCAAGUCAACAGCUUGCACUGAUUACGUCCCUGCCCUUUGUACACACCGCCCGUCGCUCCUACCGAUUGGGUGAUGCGGUGAGCCUUUCGGACCGGCGCUUCGGCGCUGGAAAGUCAUGCAAAUCUCAUCACUUAGAGGAAGGAGAAGUCGUAACAAGG